GUACCAUCAGUUUGAGGCUAAUCAUUCAGAAUUCAAAGAAAAAGUGACACAGCGAGCAUAGACAUGAGGACUUUAAAGCAGGGGGCACAGCAAAUAUUCAAAACAGAGAACUGAGGAGAGGUAAACAUCUUACAGGCUUUGAUUUCUAAAAGCCUAGUCUCUCCAUAGCCCACAGAAGCCAGAGCCUUGAAGCCCUUCCCAACCAUGUCAUGACAGGUCCUAUUGUGACCUCCUGAGGAGCGACUGUGAGGAGGUCCAGCCAACAGAUGUUAAGCUGUAGCCAGGCCUGGAUUUCUUUGAGUGCUUUGAGAGGAGGUGUGGAGUGGAGCCCUCUGCGACUUGGUUUUAUCUAGUGAGCUGUGUGUGGUUGUAUCGGAUUUUACUGUAC
rnacentral:lncRNA from 1 species